CUGAGUCUGGUUUGAUGAAAUUAGAGGAUGGUUAGAGACUGGCUGGAUGAAGGAAAGGCAACAGCCAUGGUGGCAUUUAAAAAGUAGAAUGAACUUUUUUUUUUAUUAGCAUGCAAAACACACUUCCAUACUGGUCACUUUGGUAAGAGCACACUCAUAUAUAACUCAAAUCUUAAAAUAAAAUUAAAUACACUGAUAUGAAAGGUUAGUAUGCUUUGAUCCUUAUCUAUCCAACUCCAACAGUUCUUUCCCUAGAAGUGGAAAGCAUUCUCCUAUUAUAAGUCUUUUGGGAUUGUCCUAGAUCAUUGCAUAGAAUUUUUAGAGAGGUAGCUGAAGCAAGGUACUUCUCUGAAGCAUGUAACUCCUAGAUGCAAAGAAGAGAGAUAGUUAUGGAAGAACCUAAUGCUUGAGAAGGAAUAAUUCCUAGUCUGAAGGAUAAGAAGUGAGAUUCAUCAUUUCCUCCCCAAAGCCAACUCCCACUAAGGAAUCUUAAAGGAAUGGUAUUUGCCUUGUAGGAGAAUAUAACCUGGCAGAAGAUAGGACUGAGAGAAGAGGGAGGAGAUGGUCCUGAGGAAUGGAACAUUUGAUUGAGGACUACAGAGUCAGAGUGCCUUGAACCCUAAGUAGUAAAUGCUUUUUUGGGAUUCAGCCUACAAUCUGUGAGUAUACCAAGUUGUGGAGAGAAGAUGAAAACUAGAAGAGCUGCCAGUUUUAAAAAAUAAAAUUAAUUUUAUAAAAAAGAAGAAAGAAGGAAACUAAAUUACUAGAUUAGAAAUGAGAAAAGAGAAAAAUAAGGGAAAAAAGAGAAAUGAAAUGAAGAAUAAAUAAAAGAUAUUAUUAGAAAUUAUUUUGCCUAGGCAGUUAGGUGGUUCUCCAGGCCUGGACAUAGAAAGUCCUGAGUGCAACCUGACCUCAGAUACUUCCUAGCUGUGUGACCCUGGGCAAAUCACUUAAUCCCAACUGCUUAGCCCUGACUAAUUUUCUGCCUUAGAAACCAACACUUAGUAUUGAUUCUAAAAUGGAAGGUAAGGAGUUAACAAAAAUUGUCUUGUCCAAUUAUAUUCCAACAAAAUCAAAACUUAAAUGAAAUAAAUGAAAAAUUUCCAAAAAAUCAAAUAUCCAAAUUAACAGAACUAUAGAGAAUUUAAACAACUUGGUUUUAGAAUAAGAACCUAAACAAGCCAUAAAUGAACAUCCAAAGAAAAAAUUUAAGGACCUGAUGGACUCACAAUUGUAAUCUACGAAACUGACAAAGAAGAAUCCCAAUAUUAUAUAGUUUACAAAAAUGGUAAAAGAAGGUAUCCAAAUUCCUUCAGUGGCACAGAUAUGGCCUUGACACAUAAACCAAAAAAAGAAAAAAAUUUCUAGACCAAUAUCUCUAUAAAUAGUGAUGCAAAAUUUUAAAAAUAAAAAUUACCAAAAAGCUAAAAAAAAAAUCACAAAGAUGCCACAUUAUGAUCAAGUUGGAUUUAUGCCAGGAAUGUAGGUUUUUGGCUAAUUAGAAAAUCUAUAAACUUAAAUCACUAUAGUAAAAACAAAAUCACAUCCAUAUGAGUAUAUUAAUAAAUAUAGAAAAAGAUUUGGAUGAAAUGCAAUAUUGAUUUUUGUUUUUAAAAUUAUUAAAUAUAAGAACAAAAAAUCUUAAAAUAAUAAAUAGCAUAUAUCUCAAAUAAAGUUACCAGUAUAUGAAAUAGAGAUUAAACUAGAAUCCUUUCCAAUUAAAUCAGACUAUUUAUCCAUUGUCACCACUUCUAUUUGACAUAUGACUCAGAAAAAUUGAGGGAAUAAGCAUAUGUCAAUAAGAAACAAAGUGAUCACUUUUUGAAGAUGGCAUACUUAGAAAACCCUAGGAAGUCAAUUAAACAUCACUUCAAUUUUUACAACAAACUUUACUUUAAAAUUACUUCAAUUAAACAUAACUUCAAGUAAUCUUACAGGAUAUAAAAUCCACACAAAUCAUCAGUUCUUCAUAUAAUACCAGUAAAACAUGGCAGGAAGAGAUACAGAAAUUCCAUUCAAAAUAACAACAGGAUACAUAAAAUACUUGGGAGUCUUAACUAUUAAGAUACACAUAAGAACUAUAUAAAUAACAACCACAAACCACUGGUUACAGAAAUAGACAAAAAUAAUUGGAAAAAAUACUGAUUGUUCAUGGAUAGAAUGAAUCAAUAUAACGAAAAAAACCAAAACUACCUACAUUAUAUAUUCAUUGCCUCACUAAUCAAACUACCAAAAAUUUAUAAGACUACAAAGAACAAAAUUCAGAUGGAGGCAAAAAAGGUCAAUAAUCUCAAGGGAAACAAUGAAAAGAAAUGGGAAUGAAGAUAGCCUUGCUACAUCAGAUCUCAAUUAAACCACAAAGUAGUGAUUUUCAAAAUAAUUCAGUACUGGUUAAAAAACACAGAUUAGUUGAAAAGAUUGGGUAUACAGCUAGUACCCUAAUAUCUGAUUAACAAAAAGAUACCAGCAACUGGAAUAAGAACUAUUUGACCAAAAAAAGUUCUGGAAAAAGUGGACAGCAAUAUGGGAGAAACUAGAUUUCAACCAGAAGCUAGUAACAUAACAAGAUAAUAUUUAAAUUGAUAUGACAUUAGAUAUAAAAGAUUAAAUCACAAAUUAGAGAAGCAUGGAAGAAAUUAAUGAUCAGAUCUUAUGUAUAAAAGAAAAACCAUUGAAAAUAAAAUAGAUCAUUUUGAUUACAUAAUUUUUUUUUUUGCACAAACAACUCAAAUUAAGCUAAGGGGAAAAGGGAAAAAAUAUUUAUAAAAAAUCAUUGCAUCAAAUUUUUCUGAUGAAAGUCUUAGUUUCAAAAUGUAUAAGGAUCUGAUUCAAAUUUAUUAGAAUAAGUGAACCAUUCCCUAUUGAUGUUAAAAGAUAUGAACAGGCAGUUCUCAUAAGAAACGCAGGCUAUCAAGUCAUAUGAGUAAAUAUUCCAAAUUAUUACUAAUUAGAGAAAUGCAAAUUAAAGCAAUUCUGAGAUUCUAUCUCAUACUCAUCAGAUUGGCAAGGAUGACAAAAUUAUAAAUGUUAGAGGAGCUGAAGGAAAAUAAGAAUACUGGUAUACUGUUGGUUGACCGGUGAAUGAGUACAACUAUUCUGGAAAGCAAUUUGAAUUAUAUAGUUACUAGGCAGUACACGCCCUUUGACCUAAAGAUACCACUGCUAGGCCUAUAUCCCAAAGAAAUAAAAAGAAAGGAGGUCUUAUACAUACAAAAAUACUUUCAGCAGUUCCUUUUGUGGUGGCAAAAAAAAAAAGGGAAAACAGAGAGGCCUAUUAAUGGAAUGGCUAACUUUUGAUAUACAAUUGUGCUGUUAGAAAUGAGGAAAAGAUUAUUUCAAAAACACAUACAGAAAGAGUGAAGUAAGCAGAACAAUUUAUACUAUAACAUCAUAUUAGAAAAACAGAAUUUUAAAGAUAUAAACUGAUAAUGAAAUGAGCAGAACCAGAACAAUUUAUACAAUAGCAACAACACUAAGGGCAAACAACUCUUAAAGCUGUAAGAAUUAUGACCAAUACAAUGACCAUCCAUAAAUCUGAGGGCCAAUGAAACAUACAAUUACUUCUCUAUGUCCUGACAGAGAAGUGAUAGGGGUGGCAGAGUAUAGAAAAAGAUAAAUUUGAAACAUAAUGUAACAUGUGCUGCAAUAUUAUAACAUAUUACAUAUGUACACACACAAAUAAUAUAGUCAAUGAGAACUGAUUUUGCUUGACUGUACAUAUUUAAUACAAGGAAUUUGUUUUUCUUUUUUUUCUUUUUUUCAGUGGUCUAUGAUGGGAGGGAGAGAAAAUAGAUUUUUCUUCAUUAAAAAAACAAGUAAACAAGAUGGGGCAUUUUGAGAUGAAAAAUAGAUAAUUAUGAGUACACUAAACUGAAAAGAUUUUGUACAAAAAAAAGUUGCCAAUAUUAGAAGGAAAACAGAAAAUUUGGGGAAAUAUAGCAUAUAAAAAUAUAUAGAGAGAACUUUCUCAGAUUUAAGGGAAUAGGAGCCAACCCCCAGAUGAUAAAUAAGCAAAAAAUGAAGAGACAGUUUUUGAAUAAAGAAAUCAAAGCCAUAUAUAGGUACAUGAAAAAUACUCUAAAUCACUACUGAUUAGGAAAAUAUAAACCAAAAUAUUUCUGAGAUAUCAUCUCAUACCCAUAAGAUUGCUUAAAAUAACAAAAGAGAAAAAUGACAAACAUGGGAGGAGACAUGGAAAAGUGAGGACACUAAUACACUAUUGGUGGAACUAUGAACUGAUCCAACCAUUUUGGAGAGCAAUUUGGAAUUACGUCCAGAAUUAUGACUGUGUACAUCCUUACACCCAGCAAUAGUAUUGCUGGCUCUAUUUUCCAAGGACAUCAGGGAAAAGGAAAGAAAACUCUAUAUUCCAAAAUAUUUAUAGUAGUUUUCUUUGUGACAGCUAAGAACUGGAAAUCAAGGGGGAUGUCAAUUAGUUGGAAAAUGGCUAAACAAAGUGUGGUACAUGAUUGUGAUGGAAUAUUACUGUGGCAUAAAAAAUGAGCAGAAUGAUUUUUCUUUUAAACCUGGAAAUAACUGCAUGAGAUAAUGAAGAGUGAAAUGAGUAGAACGAAAAGAACAUUAUAUUCAGCUACAGACUUAAUAUUUAAAGAAUAACUUAUGAAUGUUCACCUCCAGAGAAUGAACUGGGAAGUGGAAACACAAAAGACAUGAUCUAUAUAUACAUAUCUGUUUGCCAGAUACCUUCUACUGUGGGGAGGGGAAGGAAGGUUUGAGAUACCAAAAAAACCCAAAACAAAACAAACCUCCCCAAAACACAAAAAUGGAGGGAAAACCCCAAAUAGAAGUAUUGUAGGUGGCUACUACAAACGUGGAAUGUUGUAUGUUUUCAGAUGAUGUCUUGUAUUAUUAGUUUUGCUUAAUUGUUUUUCUUUGUUAUAAGACCUUUUAUGAAAUAGAGGAAUGAUAUAUCACUAGAACUUUAAAAAAUAAGUUAGAAAUGGUAGCUCCCAUUAGUGGUUAUUGGUCUUUCCAUUUUUCCUGCAAUUUUAGCAAAGGGCCUCAGAGGAAGGUAGAAAUGAAAAGUUCCUCCUCCAAUUUCUUCUUCCUUUAAGUUCUUAGGUUGUGUUGUGAAAAUUAUAUGACCAGAGCAAUGGACUCCAGAGUAGUGGUGCAGCACCACUUUCUGGAAACCCCAUGCACACCACUCUAAUUUCUUCCCUGCAGUCAGGCCCUUGUACCCUGUAAUUGUUUUAUCAAAAAUAGGAAUAUGCCCUAUAAUGGGAAUGGGUUUCUAGGCCCUGGAUGCCACAGUAUGUGUAUCCUGAGAUGAGGCUGCAACUCUCAGUUCUCAGCAGGUGGAGAUAGACACAGAUUUAAAGGUGAACGGUGGGUUUGUUCUGUGAGCUUGUCUGCCAUGACACUUAUUUCCUCAUUUUUUCCCCCUCAAAAAAGCACCUUGGAUUACUUCCCAGAAAAGCAGGAGUUGGGAAAUAUACUUUGAGAAACACUGUUUUAGAACUUGAGUUCUAUAAUGGUAGACAGAUGAUUUUUUUUUUCUAACAAGACUUUAAAAAUAAUAAUUAAACAUGGUUAUAAAUGGAGUUUUUUGGGUUCACAUAUUUCUCAUAUUCUGUGCAAAUAGCUUAUAUACUGUAUAAUAGCAACAAAAUAAAUAUAUACAUAUAUUGAUAAAUAGUAGUAAUUUGUAAAUAUUAGCAUUUACAAAGUACUUUAAAAGUUUGAGGAACACUUUACAUACAUCAUUUCAUUCAAGCUCACCACAAGUGGGGAAAGUUUUUUUGAUAAGUAUUAUUACCCCCAUUUUACAAAUGAGGACUUCAAGACUCAGGGAGAUUAAAAGAGGCAAACCCAGGUUUUCUUGACUCUUCAGUACAGGCAGGCAUCUCAGCAGUGUCCUGUGUCACACAAAUGUCUGCAAGAUGGUACAUCAAAAAUGUUCCCCCCCAAUUACAUUUUAAAAUGAUUUUUACUAUUGUUUUUUAAUUUGAGUUCUCCCAUUUUUAAUUUGAGUACUUUCUCCCAUUCCUCUCCCCUCUCUCGGAUGGUAAGAGAUCUGAUCAUAUGCAAUCAUGGAAAACAUUUUUCUCUAUUAGUCAUUUUGUGGAAGAGAUGUUAAGAUGUUAACAUUUUUUAAGAGAGUGUCAAAGUUGGGCUCCACAUCCAACAUGAGGCUAAAGCAAAAUCAGACCGGAAACACAAUGGAAAUAAAAAAGAAAGCUGUACCAUGAAGCUGAAAAUAGCUGGAAAUUUGGUUUUUAUCUGCACCUCUCUUACACCUGUAUCUGAGGAAUUCACAGUUUGCACUAAUUGCCUGGUAAAGUGAUGAGAGUAAAUAGUUCUUUUUAGUUUAUUGGCCCAGUAUAAAAUGAAGCUUUCACUGCCUUGUGCAAACUAAGAACAAAGUUCGUGCUCUGACAGGAUAUCAUCUGGAAUACUGAAAAGAAGUAAGUAGCUAACACUAGACCCAGAAAACAGAAUAUGAGAGGAGGGGGGUCUACCAUAUUCUUUUGCCUACUAAAUGCUUUCUCUAACAUCUGGAAGUUUUCACAAUUAGUAAAUUUGUAGUCCUUUAACUGCACUGUAUGUUUAAACUUUUCCUAUCUUUUCUCCAGAGUUUUUCAAGUCUUUCCACUGGUAUACAGAGAAUAAUAUUUAUAGGAAGAACCAUCCUCAUCCAAGAACUAACAUAGUCAUUUUCAUUCAAUAUGAUGUUGGAUAUCUAGAGAAGAUUUUUUUAUUACAUUAAUGGGGCCAUAUCUAGUUGGGGGAGAAGUUAAGAGAAGGGUUUGGGCGACCUUAAUAUAUAUCAGUCUUUUAAAGUGAUUCCCUUGUAACAUUGGAAUUUGGUUUUCUGUAGGAGAAGGAACAUGAGAAGCUGGAAUUGCAGGGGAAGGGUUUUGGGGAUUAAAUUCAGACAAGAUUUGCACUACACGAGAGAAGCAGUCUGUUAACUGGGCUAUAGGGAAGGUGUUUUCCAUCUCUAUUUCAGGGAAGGAAAUUUCCUCAUUCAAAGGUUCAGAAACAGGUCUGUUUCUGGUAGAGUGGUUGUUUGCCAAUUGAUCCUGUAAGAAACUUUUUAGAUCUUCUAAUUGGGCUUGCAUUUUAUCCUCAAUAUUUCCUAUUUUAUUCUCAAUAUUUCCUAUUUUAUCCUCAAUUUUUUCUAUUGUAUCCUCAAUUUUUUCUAUUUUAUCCUCAAUAUUUUCUAUUUUAUCCUCAAUAUUUUCUAUUUUAUCCUCAUUUUUUUUAUUUUAUCCUCAACAUUUUCUAUUUUAUCCUCAAUAUUUUCUAUUUUAUCCUCAUUUUGUUUUAUUUUAUCCUCAUUUUGUUUUAUUUUAUCCUCAUUUUGUUUUAUUUUAUCCUCAUUUUGUUUUAUUUUAUCCUCAAUAUUUUUUAUUUUUUCAUCUCUAAAUAUAGUAUUGAGGAGUACAAAAAUGACAGUACCUAUUAAUAUAAAAAUUUGGAGGUAUCCUUCAUUCCUCAAUGCCCCUACUUCUUCAGCUGCCAUAUAAUUGUCAAAGAAUGUAGUACUCAUUUUUAUAUAUAUAUUUUGUAAUUUCACAAAACACGUGGGGAGCAGGGCAAAGAAACAAACUUUCCACAGGGUUUUUUUUUUUCCUAAUCCAGGAAGUUGUUCCUUAAGGGAAAGGAUAUUUAGAAACAGUUCUUCCAGCCAGGACUUUAGAGUCCUGUUGCUGAGAUUUAAAACAGCUGUUUUCUGUCUAUCAGAGUCACACAGCUGGGAAGUAUCUGAGGUCCGAUUUGAACCCAGGACUUCUGUCUCUAGGCCUGGCUCUCAAUCCGCUGAGCUACCCAGCUGUCCCUUAAGAUUAAAGGGAAGAAAAAGAAAAAAAAACUGCUGUAGUGGCAGUGCUGGGACAAUGGGUAUGGACUGUUUUAUAGCCCUUUGUGCAUAAUUCCAAAUUGCUCUCUAGAGUGGUUGGAUUAGUUCACAAUUCUACCAACAGUGCAUCAAUGUCCCAUUUUUUCCACAACCCCUUCAACAUUUAUUUUCUUUUUUUAAUCAUAUUAGACAAACUGUUAGGUGUCAGGUAGUACUUCAGAAUUGUUUUAAUUUACAUUUCUCUAAUUGGUAGGGAUUUAGAGCAUUUUUUCACAUCACUAUAGAUAGCUUUGAUUUCUUCUGAAAACUGCUGUAAUAUCUCUUGUCAUAAAUUCUUCCUUUAUUAUAGUCUGUGCUCCCCUAAUUUGCUUAUAUUACCAUUUAUAUCUAAAUCAUGUACCCAUUUUGAACAUAUCUUCUUGGUUUAUAACAUGAAAUAUUGGUCUAUACCUACUUUCUGUCAAACUACUUCCUACUUUUCCCAGAAAUUUUUGUUAAAGAAUGAGUUCUUGUCCCCAAAGCUUAGAUCUUUACAUUGCUCAAACACUAGAUUACUAUGAUCAUUUAUUACUGUGUAUUGGGAAGUUAUGUUUUAGAAAAUAUUUUAUGUAUCUUAAUUAGACAAGAUUUGCCUUCUCAUCUUCCUUCUCAAUUAAGAACAUGAGAAAAACAAAACCCAUUACAAACAUAGGUAGUCAAUCAAAACAAAUUUCUACAUUAGCCAUGUCCAGAAAACAAUUUCUCAGUUUCCAUACUGAGUCCUUCACAUCUCUGUCAGGUGGUAGCAGUGAUUAUGCUGGGAAGAGUUCAUCAAAUUUAUAUACUAUAGCUUGUCCAAUCAUCCCCCAAUUUAUGGAUUCCCCUUCAGAUUCCCAUCCUUUGCCACCUCAAAAAGAACUAUAAAUAUUUUUGUGUAUUAUUAGUUUGUUUUGUUUAGGAUUCACCACUAUUCCUUAAUCUACUCUUCUUUUAAUUCCCUUUCUCUCCCCUUUCCCUAUUUUCCUAUUGAGUAAAAUGGACUUUUGUACCCAACUCUCUGUGUAUUUUUGUAUAUUCCUUGUUCUUUUCACCAGUUUAGAUGAGAAUGAGGUUCAAGUAUCAGUUACUUCUCCCAACUCCUCCUUCAUGUCUGUAUCGCUGUUUAAUUAUGCAUUUUGAUUAUGUAAGAUAAUUUCCCCCAACCUUCCUUUUAUUUUUGCACCAGUAUAUUCUUCUUUCCUUUUCUCUUUCCAUUCUUUUCUUUGGAUCAUCAAGACUUGGGGACAGCAAGGCAGUUCAAUGACUAGAGUGAGACCUGGAGUUAAAAAGGACCUGGGUUCAUAUCUGGUCUUAGAUACUUCCUAGGUGUGUGACUCUGGGUAAGUCACUUAAUCCCAUUGGCCUAGCUCUUGCCAUUCUUUUGUCUUGGAAUUGUUACUAAGACAGGAAGCAAGGGUUUAAAAAAAGUAAAUUUUAGCCCUUUUUCUUUUUUUUGAGGGAAUUGAAUUUUUUUUAUCAAUUACAUUACUAAAUUAAAAUUUUAAAAAGAUCAUCAAAAGUUAACAUGGUGGGGGGAGUGAGGUGGCUCAGUGGAUUGGGACCCAGGCCUAGAGAUGGGAGGUCCUGGGUUUGAAUUAUAUUUUAGACACUUUCUUGCCAUGUGACACUUGGCAAGUCACUUAACCCUCAUUGCCCACCAGUUACUGUUCUCUGCCUUGUUACCAGUACUUAGUAUUGAUUCCAAUACAGGAGAUAAGGGUUAACCCUCCCUCACCCCCACCAACUAAACAAGACUAUUCUAAGGCCUUACCUAACUAAACUCCUAUGAAAUUGGAGGAUGACAUGUAUCAUCUCCCCAUAUUUGAAUAUAAGCAGCUUAUCCUUAUUUAGUACUUUGUUCAUUUGUGUUUACUUUUUUUUUAUACUUCACUCCUGUGUUUGAACUUCAAAAUUUCUCUGCGUUUCUGGUCUUUUCAUUAAGAAUGCCUGGAAAUCCUCUAUUUCACUUAAAAUCUAUUUUUUAAAAUAGUAUAGGAUUAUGUUCAGUUUUGCUGGGUUAAGUAUUCUUACCUGCAAGUCCAUAUUCUUUGCCUUCUGGAAUAUCAUGUCCCAAGUUUCCUGUUGCUUUAUUGUGAUGACUGCUAAAUGUAGAUGAUCCUCUUUGGUACUUGCAUUCUUUCCUUGGUGCUUGCAGUAUUUUUUCUUUGACUUAGAAGUUGUAGAUUUUGGCUUUGAUGUUCCUGAGUUUUCAUUCUGAGGCUUUUUCAGGUGACCAGUGGAUUUUUUUCUUUUUCUAUUUCUACUUUGCCCUCUAGUUCCAAGAGAUCUGGGCAGUUUUCUUUGAACAUUUUUUUGAAAUACUAUGUCUAAGCUCCACCACUCCCCCCUCCUCCCCAAUGGGUUAUGGUGUUUAUAUAGUUCAGUAAUUCUUAAUUUCUUUUCUCUUUGAUCUGUUUUCCAGGUCAGUUAUUUUUGUUAUGAGACACCUUACAUUUUCUUCCAUUUUUCAGCCUUUUGUCUUUGUUUUUAACAUUUCUUUUUACCUCAUUUAAGUCACUGACUUCUAGUUGGUCGAUUUGAAUUUUCAGGAAGUUUGUUGGGCAAGGUUUUGUACCUCUUGUGCCAAAAAAUUUCCAUUUUUCCCCACUCAAGAACUCUCAUUCCACUUAUAAAAAGAUUUUAAAAUUCUUUUUUUUAAACCCAAAUCUAUUGCUUCACCUCUUCUAGAAAUUCUAGUUGUGUUUGAUCCAAGCUGUUUUUCUCUGAGGCAUUUUUGUCAAUGCUUUGGAGUCAUUCUCUUCUGCAUUUGUGUCUUGAGCAUCACUGCCACCAUAAUAACUCAUUAUAGUUAUGGGAUUCUUUCCCUCCCUAUGUAUAUGCAAUACAUAUGUCCAUAUUCAUCAUGUUGUGGAAGAUAUGCAAUCACACAUAUGAGAAAAAAGUCAUGAAAGAAAUAAAGUGAAACAUAGUAGGCUUUGCUCUGCAUUCAGACUCCUAACAGUUCCUUCUGGAUGAUCAUAUUUUUGUUAUGGUGCAGAUUCUCGUUCUGGGUUGAGUUUGAUUAGAUGACUACUAAGAUACCUAACCUAAAUUCUGUGAACAGUCCCUGUUCUUAAGGUAUUGACAUUUGACUUAUGAGAUAUAUGGCAUACAAAGACAAAUGAAUACAAAGUAUUUCCAUCAGAGAGUACUAACAUCUGGGGAGACUGGGGAAGGCUUUGUGAAUCAGGUUCAAGAUAAGGAUUCUAAAGGGAAGAAAGGAUUCAUUGCAGGGACAAGGGUAGGAUUGAAGUGGGACAUCCUGUUCAAAAACUAUUGAGGCAGUCUGAUUGGAAUACAUGAAAAAAAUGUCUGGAGCUCAAGCAUGGAAGACGUUAGAAAUGCCAGGCUGAGGAGUUUCUAUUUUAUUUUAGAAGCAUUAGAGAGCCACUGAAGAUUUUUGAGCAAGGGAAUAAUAUGACAUGUUUCAGGAAGAUUAGCAGGUAUAUUUGGCAGAUAGAUUGGGAAAGAGGGAGACUAUGGGCAGUGGUAGCACAUUAUCGAAGAGAGAGAAUCACUGAAUUUGUGUCAGAAGGGAUCUCAAUGGUCAACUUGUUCAACUCAUACAUGAAAGGAAUGUCCAUUCUAACAUGUUCAACUCAUCUGUAAGACUCUGUUUGAAGAUCUUCAAAUACAAGGAAUAGGGUGGGGAGACAGGUAGCAUGAGAAGGAAAAAGGGAAUUCUUUUCAAGCACCUAGGGUCAGCAAAUAAAUAACUGGUAUUUGGGUCUUUCCAGGAGAAUUAUAAAAAGUUCUUUCCUGACACUAGUUAUGUUGACUUAUGGCAAGAUGGUGAUGAUAAAGUUUAUGCAGAAGGCACUCCCCAUGUAGAGCAGGCACUCACUCACUAAUCCCCAGUGCCCAAUACCUUUGGUACUCAGGCUCAGAAUAUUUGAGCUCCUCAUUGUGUUAGGGUUAGUCUCGGCUAUUAUAGCACACUAGUUUAUGGUCAUUUGCUUUGAAUUUUUAAGUAUUGGUCAAAGUUUGAUUACCAACUUGACAAAGAUUAGUAUUUAUGCUAUAAACUAUUAGGAAUUUCUGAA